UCUUGCCGCCGCGAAGAUGGCGCCUCCCUACGAAGGGAAAGCGAGACUAGGAAUGGUGGGGACAGCAGACUUUCUCCCCUGGACCCAGCCCAUCCUGAGGCUUCAGAAUCUACUGAAUUUACGUCAGCCAACGCAGUUCCCUUUUUGCUGAGGUAACGGAGCUGUACAUAGAGCACAUCGGCAGACAGACAGCUCGUCCGUAGUAUUAAAACACUUCGCGGAGGGGAGUUAGGGGGGAAGCCGUCUGAGAAAGUUCCUUGGGAGAGCAGUGGCGAAGCACGCGAAGACCGCGGCCGGCGUGGACAGAGGCUGCGGGCCCAGCGCUGUCCCGGCCUGGGAGGACGCUCGGCAGGUCCCUCGCUUCUGCCCGCUAGCCGCCAGGAGCACCACCCCAGCUGUGACAGAAACCCCAGUGGCCAGCACCCAUGGGACCCGGAACACGGGCAGAGCUCUGCGAAUAACGGAUGGAUGAACCGAUGGAGACGGAAGGAUAAACAUACGCACGGAGGGAGGGACAGGAAGGCGGGCAGGUGGGUGAAUGUGUGGGCGGGCGGAGAGAUGGCCGUACGGACACACAGACCUGCUUUCACAGACGUUACUAACGGCUGACACCCCACGAGUGCACACUGCUUGUCAGGAACAACGCCCAGCUCUUCAUGUACAUUCACUGUAACGGAGAAAACAAACUUCCCUUCGACUCACGCUCAGUACAACACUCAACGGCGCAGAGUAUUUCACCUCUGGUCUUCAAAAUGUACGAGGGUUUUCCCCGCCGGCAAGCAAUUCUCCAACAGACACUGACAGGGUGUCCCACAAUUUAACUCGGUUCUGACACUGUCUACCUAGAAGUAGUGUCAGGUCCCACAGGACUGCCCCCCACCCCGACCUCGGACGCCAGUGGAGAGUAGCAGGUUGUCACCUACCCUCUGUCACCUAAACAACUGACAAUAAAUCGGCGUUCCCAGAGCCCCCUCCCAGGGUUCAAUUAAUUCACUAGGACAGCUCGCGGAACCCCGGGAAACACUUUACUUGUGUUAACCCAUGUAUUUUGAAGGACGUUACAGAGGACACGGAUGAACAGCCAGUGAGGACGCGCACAGGCGAGGUAUGGGGACCUUCCGUGCCCCUCCGGCAGGCCGCCCUCCCAGCGCCUCCCCGUGUGCAGCAGUCCAGAAGCUCGUCCUUUUGGGGUUUUUAUGGGAGCUUCAU